rnacentral:lncRNA from 10 species
CAGAAUAAUUUCAAAUCAGUUUUAAAAAAUAAGUUCCCAGAGCAUGUGGAGCCAGCCUCAGUAUGAAACACUCUUUUCAGAGACAGUAACUUCCAGUGGUCAUCCAUAUAGUCCUGUUAAAUACCUGAAUGAGAGAAAUGAUGGAGAAGAUCGUCUAAGACAGAAUUCUCAAGUUUUUUCCGACCUGAAUGCACGUGAUGGAUGAGAUUCAUUCGCCUUCCUGAUAUUCUCCCAUGACAGUAUACAGUUCAAUUCCCACCCAUAGCCUGAAAUUAUACCCCUUCCUGUCUCUGAUUAACAAAUCAAAUGAUUGAAAGCAUCAUUAUAAUAGUGGUAAUAAUCUUGAAUCCACUUUGAUUUAUUUUUAAAGUAAUUUGUUUUCAAUUUUUGGAACUUUUGUUGCCAAUACGCUUGUGACAGACUUCACAACUAAUCGUUUCUUCAUCAAAGCUGAAAGCUGCUUCUGCCUCUUUUUCUUUUUUACAUUCAAUGAAGAUUGAGAAGUUUUUGUGUAAAGGACUAUAGUAAGUACUACAAAAGUGACUUCCUAUGUUUGUUA